GNACGCUGGCGUCAGGCCUAANCACAUGNAAGUCGAGCGGUAACAGANAGUAGCUUGCUACUUUGNUGACGAGCGGCGGACGGGUGAGUAAUGCUUGGGAACAUGCCUUGAGGUGGGGGACAACAGUUGGAAACGACUGCUAAUACCGCAUAAUGUCUACGGACCAAAGGGGGCUUCGGCUCUCGCCUUUAGAUUGGCCCAAGUGGGAUUAGCUAGUUGGUGAGGUAAUGGCUCACCAAGGCGACGAUCCCUAGCUGGUUUGAGAGGAUGAUCAGCCACACUGGGACUGAGACACGNCCCAGACUCCUACGGGAGGCAGCAGUGGGGAAUAUUGCACAAUGGGCGCAAGCCUGAUGCAGCCAUGCCGCGUGUGUGAAGAAGGCCUUCGGGUUGUAAAGCACUUUCAGUCAGGAGGA
rnacentral:rRNA from 1 species